GAUGAACGCUGGCGGCGUGCCUAAUACAUGCAAGUCGAGCGAACGGACGAGAAGCUUGCUUCUCUGAUGUUAGCGGCGGACGGGUGAGUAACACGUGGAUAACCUACCUAUAGACUGGGAUAACUUCAGGAAACCGGAGCUAAUACCGGAUAAUAUUUUGAACCGCAUGGUUCAAAAGUGAAAGACGGUCUUGCUGUCACUUAUAGAUGGAUCCGCGCUGCAUUAGCUAGUUGGUAAGGUAACGGCUUACCAAGGCAACGAUGCAUAGCCGACCUGAGAGGGUGAUCGGCCACACUGGAACUGAGACACGGUCCAGACUCCUACGGGAGGCAGCAGUAGGGAAUCUUCCGCAAUGGGCGAAAGCCUGACGGAGCAACGCCGCGUGAGUGAUGAAGGUCUUCGGAUCGUAAAACUCUGUUAUUAGGGAAGAACAUAUGUGUAAGUAACUGUGCACAUCUUGACGGUACCUAAUCAGAAAGCCACGGCUAACUACGUG
rnacentral:rRNA from 1 species